GAUACGAGAAUACCAUCCUCGCAAAAGGAGUAAACACAUUGACGCACAUGUCAAAAACUACCAAGGAGAGAGAUACCUACUAUUCCCAUUGCAUCAUGAGUACCACUGGACGAUAGUUGUGUAUGAUGCUAAAGAAAAUUUGUGGAAGCAUUACAACUCGUUGCGCCCAAGAACAGGCAUACAUGACCCGCAUAUCGACCAAGCACAGGAAAUUAGGAACUACAUUGAGCAUGUUGUGACCGUUAUUGGCGAGUCAUCACCGCUACACACUAAGUUAGCAGGCCAAAAUCCAGCACAACCAACCAAAAGUGUUGAUGUCUGUCCUCAACAAGGCGACGACUCAGUGGACUGCGGACCUGCAGUAUGUUACAUCAUGCGGGCG